rnacentral:rRNA from 1 species
GAAAAGGAAACCAACAGGGGAUUGCCCUAGUAACGGCGAGUGAAGCGGCAACAGCUCAAAUUUGAAAUCUGGCGUCUUUGGCGUCCGAGUUGUAAUUUGCAGAGGGCGCUUUGGCAUUGGCAGCGGUCCAAGUUCCUUGGAACAGGACGUCACAGAGGGUGAGAAUCCCGUACGUGGUCGCUAGCCUUUACCGUGUAAAGCCCCUUCGACGAGUCGAGUUGUUUGGGAAUGCAGCUCUAAAUGGGAGGUAAAUUUCUUCUAAAGCUAAAUACUGGCCAGAGACCGAUAGCGCACAAGUAGAGUGAUCGAAAGAUGAAAAGCACUUUGGAAAGAGAGUUAAAAAGCACGUGAAAUUGUUGAAAGGGAAGCGCUUGCAGCCAGACUUGCCUGUAGUUGCUCAUCCGGGUUUUUACCCGGUGCACUCUUCUACGGGCAGGCCAGCAUCAGUUUGGGCGGUUGGAUAAAGGUCUCUGUCAUGUACCUCCUCUCGGGGAGAUCUUAUAGGGGAGACGACAUGCAACCAGCCUGGACUGAGGUCCGCGCAUCUGCUAGGAUGCUGGCGUAAUGGCUGUAAGCGGCCCGUCUUGAAACACGGACCAAGGAGUCUAACAUCUAUGCGAGUGUUUGGGUGUCAAGCCCGAACGCGUAAUGAAAGUGAACGGAGGUGGGAACCUUUCGGGGUGCACCAUCGACCGAUCCUGAUGUCUUCGGAUGGAUUUGAGUAAGAGCAUAGCUGUUGGGACCCGAAAGAUGGUGAACUAUGCUUGAAUAGGGUGAAGCCAGAGGAAACUCUGGUGGAGGCUCGCAGCGGUUCUGACGUGCAAAUCGAUCGUCAAAUUUGGGCAUAGGGGGCGGAAGGACUAAAUCGGAACUAUCUAGUAGCUGGGUUCCUGCCGAAG